CAUGGUGUGUUGCUGCAACACAUUGCAAAUGUUGUCCAUAGGCCACUAUCAAUGACGUCACAUCGCCUGACACGUGCAUGUGCGUUUGACUGUCUGCAAUACUUGCUAUGUUCACACCUGUAUUUAUGUAUAAAGACGCUGUGUGCCUAUAUCUACAUUUUCUGUGUGCACAGUUUCUUUAUGUGGCCAG